UGGCAUAGAACAAAGAAUCACCACUCACUGCAAAGGCAGGCCGUUCUCUCUCUAAUUUAAAAACAAUCAUGCCACUGUCAUGACCUGCAGCAAGGAGAUUCAUUUCAGGGUGAGAUGCAAGAAUCCAGAAACGGUCAUGCUCUCGACGGAAAGUCUGAACUCCUGUUCGUUUGGUUACAUCCCAAACACGAAUGCUUUUAUCCUCUGAAUUUGAAACGAUGAUAUCCUGUUUAGCAUGGAACAUAACACAUGACACAUUAUUCAUGUGUCCUCUCAAAGUGUCCACUUCCCAGGCCUUCGUGUCGUUCAUACGCCACAAUUUCACCUGACGAUCAUCUGCUCCUGAGACAAUCAAGGGAAGGUUGGGGUGGAAUGCAGCCCAGUUCACUCCUCGAUCAUGACCUUCCAAGACAUACUUAACAACAGCAUCAACCCCACCAAAAAGAUCCGUGUUCAUCUGACUCAAGCGCAGAAUGUCAUCAGCAGGGGACACAGUUUUCUUUCUCAGGGCACCAAUAUCCCAAACACGAACAGUCUGAUCUAGAGAGGCCGAAACAACAAGGUCUUCUUUAGGAUGGAAUGAGGCGCACAUUACAUAAUGAUUGUGGCCCGUCAACACAGAAAUGCAAGUACGUGAUUGCCAAUUCCAAAUACGGAUGGUCUGGUCAUCACUGGCACUCACG
rnacentral:misc_RNA from 1 species